rnacentral:lncRNA from 1 species
GUCCUCCAGCUGCGUUCGGACCCGUCGGAUCGUAAAUCCCAUGUAAGGUACCUGCCGUCGGAAGAUUUGAUCUUUCUACUUGGACACCUAAUACCCACAGUCCUCCAGACAGAAGGACAACAGGUACAAAGUCCUAAGGAUUAUAAAGGUAUGCUGCUUGCCAUCAUCUUAGUGACCAAGGCAGCGAAGCUGUUUCUGUACCUUGGAACAGUCUUCCCUGACAAGCCAGAGAACAGCGAUAAAGCCACCAGCCUUGGGAUCAGGACUGAAAAGGCAAGAGUGAUGGAGAUUUCUCCUGCGCUAAGCCAAGAGAAGGUUUCAGCACCUCAGACAGCUCCCACCGAAGUAGCGGCGCUCCCAGCUGCUUGCAGAUGUGGAAAAGGAAAGCCUCGGUUUGUCUUGAGGUUGUCAGCAGUUGCAAGACACGUAAUAAAAUGCAAUGUGUUCCUAAUUCAUU